rnacentral:rRNA from 1 species
AACGAACGCUGGCGGCAGGCUUAACACAUGCAAGUCGAACGCCCCGCAAGGGGAGUGGCAGACGGGUGAGUAACGCGUGGGAAUCUACCUAGUUCUACGGAACAACACAGGGAAACUUGUGCUAAUACCGUAUACGCCCUACGGGGGAAAGAUUUAUCGGAAUUAGAUGAGCCCGCGUUGGAUUAGCUAGUUGGUGGGGUAAUGGCCUACCAAGGCGACGAUCCAUAGCUGGUCUGAGAGGAUGAUCAGCCACACUGGGACUGAGACACGGCCCAGACUCCUACGGGAGGCAGCAGUGGGGAAUAUUGGACAAUGGGCGCAAGCCUGAUCCAGCCAUGCCGCGUGAGUGAUGAAGGCCUUAGGGUUGUAAAGCUCUUUCAGUGGGGAAGAUAAUGACGGUACCCACAGAAGAAGCCCCGGCUAACUUCGUGCCAGCCGCCGCAGUAAUAC